UUCAGAUUAGGAGGGAAACCAAAUGGAAAGUGGCGUUAUGGCGGCAAAAUAGUCAAGAGUGUUUCUCUAUCCAGCGCUUUAGCUGCGACUGAAGAUUCGCUCUUUUCAGUCUUCCCAUCCACGAUCCAGCUCUCGCAGCUCGCAAGCAGAUGCAAGUUCAAAGGUGAUUGAUGGCGCUGUUGAUCUCUCUGUUGACGAUUUUGUGUUUUGAGUCCUAUAGAAAUGCAUAAUCUGUUCAUCUGAAUAGUUUUGAGGAAAAAAGUUCAUAGAUCGCAAACUUCUUCCCUCUAAAUGGUUAGGAACUUUUCGUUCACAGUUAUAUUUAUGUAUAUAUUGCUUGUGUAUGGCUAGGUAGGGAAAUGUGUUGUAGAUGCUCUGAACAAUUUUUUAAUAUCAGAAUUCCAGGAGCAUCAAUCUGUUUAGAAAAUACAGAAGACAAGGUUGAGAGGGAUUGAAAUGAGGUUUUGGGAGAAUUGAGGGGAUGAAUUUGUUAGAAGAAGAAGACAGUUUGAGUGAAGAAGGGGAAGUGAGAGGACAAAGUUAGGGUUAAAGUUUGAGGAGCUAGUUUUCAGAGAAGAAAUCAUUUUGUCAUGUGGUGAAGAAAGGUUGAAGUAGAGAGGGCAAAUAAGGGAGAUAGUAACCCAAGAAUGUGUUGCAGGUUGGUUAGUGGGAGCAGGAAAAUGAAUUUCAGUGAGAAAUUGGAAAUUAAAGAUUAUAAUAGUUGAGGAGGAAAUUCGAUCUUUUGCUAGUUUUCUGAUUGGAGGGUGGCUUUAUUGUAGGGGCUGAUUAGGUUGGUUUGAAAGGUUACUCGUGUGUUUGUUAUUAGCUGGAUUUGGUAUUCAGUGGACAUCUUAUCCUCCUUUUUUUGGGUAUGUUUGGAUGAUUAAUUUUAACGAGAUUUUGUUGCUCGUAAAAGAACUUUUUCAGUGUAGUUGGAAUGCUUGUGCACUAGCUCCUUUGGUGUUCUUGCACUAUCUUCUAAUAUACCUUUGGCUAUUAAACUCGCAACCUUCAAGUAAUUUGCUCAAGAAACUAGCUAGUGUAUUAAACUGUAUGACAUCUUUUGGUUAUGCUCGCCGUUUUUACAGAAAUGGCUAAAUGCCCUCUCAGUCAUGUGAGCAAACAACUAAAUUAGAACCUCACUUUUUGCUC